GAUGAACGCUGGCGGCGUGCCUAAUACAUGCAAGUCGAGCGAACAGACGAGGAGCUUGCUCCUCUGACGUUAGCGGCGGACGGGUGAGUAACACGUGGAUAACCUACCUAUAAGACUGGGAUAACUUCGGGAAACCGGAGCUAAUACCGGAUAACAUGUUGAACCGCAUGGUUCAACAGUGAAAGACGGUCUUGCUGUCACUUAUAGAUGGAUCCGCGCCGCAUUAGCUAGUUGGUAAGGUAACGGCUUACCAAGGCAACGAUGCGUAGCCGACCUGAGAGGGUGAUCGGCCACACUGGAACUGAGACACGGUCCAGACGACUACGGGAGGCAGCAGUAGGGAAUCUGACGCAAUGGGCGAAAGCCUGACGGAGCAACGCCGCGUGAGUGAAGAAGGUCUUCGGAGCGUAAAACUCUGUUAUGAGGGAAGAACAAAUGUGGAAGUAAAUAUGCACGGAUUGACGGUACCUAAUCAGAAAGCAACGGCUAACUACGUG
rnacentral:rRNA from 1 species